CCUACGGGAGGCAGCAGUGGGGAAUCUUAGACAAUGGGCGCAAGCCUGAUCUAGCCAUGCCGCGUGAGUGAUGAAGGCCUUAGGGUCGUAAAGCUCUUUCGCCUGUGAUGAUAAUGACAGUAGCAGGUAAAGAAACCCCGGCUAACUCCGUGCCAGCAGCCGCGGUAAUACGGAGGGGGUUAGCGUUGUUCGGAAUUACUGGGCGUAAAGCGCACGUAGGCGGAUUGGAAAGUUGGGGGUGAAAUCCCGGGGCUCAACCCCGGAACUGCCUCCAAAACUAUCAGUCUAGAGUUCGAGAGAGGUGAGUGGAAUUCCAAGUGUAGAGGUGAAAUUCGUAGAUAUUUGGAGGAACACCAGUGGCGAAGGCGGCUCACUGGCUCGAUACUGACGCUGAGGUGCGAAAGUGUGGGGAGCAAACAGGAUUAGAUACCCUGGUAGUCCACACCGUAAACGAUGAAUGCCAGUCGUCGGGCAGUAUACUGUUCGGUGACACACCUAACGGAUUAAGCAUUCCGCCUGGGGAGUACGGUCGCAAGAUUAAAACUCAAAGGAAUUGACGGA
rnacentral:rRNA from 1 species